UGCCCACAUCUUGCAGAAUCCGUGGACCGCCUGCUCCCUCCCUCCCAAGUAUUUUACAUGGACUCACUCAAACAGGGAAGCCCAUGCUGGGGCCUUGCUGUGACGGUGUUGUUGGGCUGCUGAAGGAGUUUCUCUUAACCGACCCUUGUAUGGACACUGACUUCUGGAAAGAGUAUCUAUCACACUGGUGACAACACGUUUCCCAGUUCACCUGAACUCCUCAUCCUGCAAUACGCUGGUAUCUCCCAUCAUCUGCCAUUGAAAGCGAUCCUCAUCAAAUCACCAAAGACCCACCAGGUCCAAAUUUAGGGAUUCUCCAUAUUCACACGUCUUGACUUCCCGGUUAUCUUACACUGCACCUAACCGUCCUCCUGGUGAAGAGACUCCAGUUUCAGGUGCCAUGGUAACUCUCACGUAGUUGACCUCUUGCCUCUCUUGCCUGCCCUAACAAAAGGGAUGCUCCACAAGCUCCUAUCCUAGGAUUUGAGUCGGGAGUAGCUGGGGGAUGCCAUUCCUGGACCCCGGCAUGAGUAGCAGGGUGUGAGCGCAAAGCCUGUGCUUGGAAAAGGGACAUGCGCGCAGUAGGAGCCUAACAGAGGCUGGAAAUCUUCAGUCCUGGAGUUGCUGGCCAAGCCUCAGGGAGCUUCUGGCCCACCUAGACCUCUGGUUUAGAGGGUCCAGAUGUGACAGAGAGGGCCCUCCUCCCUGCCUGCCCCACAGUGCCUCCUUCUGCGGCCACCGAGACUCUUUGGAAGGUUCCCAGGCUGCCCCCACCAGCAGUCUCCCUGAGUCAGACCAGGUCGGGGCGGGCUGGAGUGUGGGCAGACGGGGUAGGAAGGUGAGCUGCAGAUGGCGCUGCCCCCAUCCUAACACCGAGUCAACGCCACGGGGGAGAAAGCCUUUGUUUUGUGCGCAACUGUGACUGACUUUUCAGCUGUCUUUGGACAGCUGCAUCUCAACUGAAAACCGAGAAAAGGCUGACCCUGCUGCUGUCUACCUGCUCAAGUUUCAGAUGCUGGACAAAUGCAUGUGAAAGAAUUUGUGAGUCCACCCACCUGUGCCAGGUGGUGGGUGAAGUGCAUGCUUAUUCAGCAGAAUUCCUUGUCUUCUGUCUCCUGGAAGCUGGUAGCCAGAGCUGACGGAGAGCAGCCAUGGGGCCUCCCCCGUCAGAAGAGGGCUGUCCCCAGGACGAUGUCCCACUCCCCACGCUGAGCAGUAUUUCUUUCGCUUCAGGGAUGUCUUACGCCCAAAUCAUUGUGUCUCCCCCACUGACCCUGGGCCCCCCCAAAGGUCAGAAGCAUCUGAGCACUACUCUUCAUGGGUGGGCCUCAGGCCCUCGCUUCCAACAAUACUGAGGCCCUCCAAGGUGAAGGGGAGUCAAGAGUGGUUGUCAGCAAUAAACAGACUUACAAGUCUUGAUUUCAGAGAGAAACAACUUGUAGACGAAAUCGCUGUGGGGAAGGUUUGGCCUUGCUCUAAUUUGACCUGCCGACCUGCCGGCUAGAGCCAGACAGAUUCGAUCUCCCCACUCCUUCCCCAUUUCGAGGUCCCUGGAAAGUCAGACCACCAGUGAGCUAAUCAACGGAAAACAAGUUUAAUGCAACAGGUUCCAACCGUCUGCAGCCAGUCGGCUUCAUCAUGGCAGCCUGAGGCCCAGGAGCCCAGAGGCCAGUGUCAGGAAAGUCACCAGCCCCGCACUGCUGCCCCUGCGGCCCUGCCUGCUGCCGACGCCCUCCUCUUUGUAUCUAUCUUCUAUGUUUUCUUUGAUGACUGGUUUCUGGUUGUUGCACAGGUCCUGCUUACAGCACGCCACGAACAGGAAGGGCGUGGGCUUUAUGAGCACGAACGACUUGGACAUCUGUGGAGGUGGACUGAUUGUCCCACAAUACUUUACGCACUGCUUGGAAACAUAGAAGAACCGUGGAAAUGUUCCUAAUGGGAAAUAAGGACAGAGACAGAAAGGAGUCACGUGAAUUGGAAACGACACCAACACCAUUUCUGUCUGAAAUCUGCCCGACCCUGACCCUUCCGGUGGCGCCUCUCAGAAGCCCCGCUCAGAGAGGGCACCUGAUGGGGAGUCGGGAGCCAUCACCACAGAGGAAGAGGAUCAGGUCUUUGUGUUCAGAUUUGCUCCUGGGAGUGGGGUGUGGCAUCGGAUGCCCCCAGCCUUGGCCUGUCCGCGCGCACCGGGAACCUGGGCCUGGCAGUCUCCGUUUGGGAACGUACAGGCUCCUUAGGCCUCAAGUUCUCAAACGCAGGGCCGCUCAGGCCUUUGUGACCACGGACAGACACACGAGAGCAAGGGGCUCCCGGCCAUCCCAGCCAGUGCCCGGAGCUCGGAGCUGCCCCCCGAGGGGCCGCUGCCCAGGGCCUGGGUGUGAGCGCUGUGCCAGGGAGCCUGCCGCAAGGGCACAGCUCAGCGCUGGGUGACGGGGCCCGUCUUCCGACUUCACCUCAUCUCAUCUUUCCACACUAAGUUAUCAGGUCCACGUGAGGCCUCAGUGGGGCUUACACCUCGACCCACUCAGCACCCCGCACACUUCCUGGAACAUGGAAGCCUCCAGAAGCGACUGACGAACGGGAAGUGAAUUCUCCAGCCCUGACGAAGCCACUGCUGGGUCACGCCGGGGCCCUCAGACUCGCCCUCGGGAGAGAGCUCCUCAUGCGGCCAGAAGUCCUCGGGCGAAUUACAGAUGACCCAGCAGUGGCGUCCAGUCGUUUUAAAGUAUGCACACUCCUUUCAGAACAUAUUUUAAGCCCAUGCCCCUAAUUAUGUACAUCUCUUGUAAAAGCUACUCUUGGUGGGACAUCUGAAGUCCUUAAAGCUUAAUUUUUCACUUAGAAGUGAAUGAAAAGAAGUCUCUGUUACUUUCUUCCUGCACUUCAGUACUUCACCCUGACCAGCGGGCAAUGCGUGUUGCCCUACGUCGGCCCUGCUGUGACUUAGCUGGGUCUCCUCCAUGGUCCACCUGCCCUCCUGGCUUCACAGGACUUUGCUCUUCAAAUUUAAAAAAAGGGUAGCUUUCAUAUUAGUUAUUCUCUACUGAGGAAAACUAGACAGACCCUGAAUCCUGAAAGUAUCCCACUGACCUGCCCGUGGAAGCCCAGUACUAACUGAGAUACUUACUCACGGCCACAGUACUACAAUACGAGACGCCCCGGCUACAGUUUGUUGGUCUUUCACAAUCGAAACUGUUCUCCUUCUCGCAAACGUGACACCUCAGUACGUCUGAAAUGAGGAAUAAAAAGAAAAUGGAAUGUG